rnacentral:rRNA from 1 species
CCUACGGGUGGCAGCAGUAGGGAAUAUUGCUCAAUGGGGGAAACCCUGAAGCAGCAACGCCGCGUGGAGGAUGAAGGUUUUCGGAUUGUAAACUCCUUUUGGUAGAGAAGAUAAUGACGGUAUCUAACGAAUAAGCACCGGCUAACUACGUGCCAGCAGCCGCGGUAAUACGGAGGGUGCAAGCGUUACUCGGAAUCACUGGGCGUAAAGAGCGCGUAGGCGGGAUAGCAAGUCAGAUGUGAAAUCCUAGGGCUUAACCAUAGAACUGCAUUUGAAACUGUUAUUCUAGAGUAUGGGAGAGGUAGGUGGAAUUCUUGGUGUAGGGGUAAAAUCCGUAGAGAUCAAGAGGAAUACGCAUUGCGAAGGCGACCUGCUAGAACAUAACUGACGCUGAUGCGCGAAAGCGUGGGGAGCAAACAGGAUUAGAUACCCUAGUAGUC